UACGUAGGGGGCAAGCGUUGUCCGGAAUCAUUGGGCGUAAAGCGCGUGUAGGCGGCUUCGUAAGUCCGUUGUGAAAGUCCAGGGCUCAACCCUGGAAUGCCGAUGGAUACUGCGGAGCUAGAGUCCGGAAGAGGCGAGUGGAAUUCCUGGUGUAGCGGUGAAAUGCGCAGAUAUCAGGAGGAACACCAAUGGCGAAGGCAGCUCGCUGGGACGGAACUGACGCUGAGACGCGAAAGCGUGGGGAGCAAACAGG
rnacentral:rRNA from 1 species